GGCCCGGCUCCAGGCAUGCCUCCCUCUGCACCCAGCUUACCACAGAGGCUACGACGGGCUGCUUGGCCAUCCCCCCAUAGGUUACCAUGGUUCCUCCACGCCUGAAAAGUCCAAAGAGAACAAAGAGUGGAUGCAAGGCAGAGACAGAGCCCUUCCUGAACCUGCCAUGGCGCUUCUACUCCAACCCUGGUUCCUUUAUAAACCCUGCUCUCAGAAUCUCUGGGAAAGGUUGAAAAAUACAGAUUCCAGCUGGGAGCAGUGGCUCAUGCCUAUAAUCCCAGCACUUUGGGAGGCUGAGGCAGGUGGAUCACUUGAGCCCAGGAGUUCAAGACCAGCUUGGGCAACAAAAGGAGACCCCAUCUCUACAAAAAAAGUACAGAAAAUUAGCUGGGCAAGGCGGCAUGCCUGUAGUCCCAGCUUCUCAGGAGGCUGAGGUGGGAGAAUCACCUGAGGCCAUGAAAUUGAGGUUGCAGUGAGCCCUGAUCGCACUACUGCACUCCAGUCUGGGCAACAGAGUGAGACCCUGUCUCAGAAAAUAAAUGAAUGAAUGAAUAAAUAAAUGCAUGCUGGGGAUGGCAGCUCACACCUGUAAUACCAGCACUUUGGGAGGCCAAGGUGAGAGGAUUGCCUGAGCCCAGGAGUUUGAGACCAGCCUGGGCAACAUAGUGAGACCCUGUGUCUAUAAAUAAUAAUAAAAAAAAAUUAGCUGGGCACGGUGAUACAUGCCUGUGGCCCCACUCAGGAGGCUGAGGUGGGAAGAUCACUUGAGCCUGGGAGGUUGAGGCUGCAGUGAGCUGAGAUUGCACUGCUGCAUUCCAGCCUAGGCAACACAGUGAGACCAUCUCAACACAAAACAAAACAACCAAGAAACCAGAUUCCUAGGUCCAAUCCCAGACUCAAUGAAUCAGGAGACGAGAAUGUAUAUUAAACACACACACACACCCGCUCUGGAUGACUUGUAUGUUUAGCCAGGAUUGGGAAUCCACUGAUCUAACCCAUCCAGUCAGGCUUUGAUUAAGUGCUGAAAAGAAACAUGCUCUCCCCAGAUGAGCUCGAGGCCUGAGUUCAGCCUUGGCUCUGCUCUCACUUACAGGUGUCCGACCUAGGGUGAUGCAGUGAAAAUGGCCCAGACCUCAUCUCUUCAUCUGCCAGUGCUCAUUCUAAGAAUCAACGUGAGGAAACAGCUCUACAGAUAAGGAAUGAUGUGGACGGUGCAGGGAACAAUGACAAGCAUCUUCUCACUGCAGGAGGUGCCUUCUCAGUACCUGCUGUCUGACACCCACACCCCCAUGUCAGCUGACAUACAGGAUUGAGGCUAACAUAAUUUUUAAGUGAAUAAGCCUGGAGUUCACUUGACUUAACCUAUGUUCACCUCCCCACUCCCUGGCUCUUCUAGGAGUCUGUUGAUUAAGGAUGACCUCAGGCACAUUUGGGGACAACACAAGGUAGACUUUCAAAACUACCAAAUGGAAGGAGCUGCUGUCCUAGGGCAGGUACUUCUGUCCCUGAGGCUGCUGGGUAGUUUGGUCUUAAGUGCCCCUUGACUGCCACCUGCUGUAGAAAGUAGCUCCUGGGAGCCAAGCCCUCUCUCUUCUGUAUCCCUGCUGCACUUCAUCUAAUCAGACUAGCUGACACUUACCAGGCUUCUACUAUGUGCCAGGCACAGUUCUAAGCAUUUUGCAUGCACUGCCUCAGGGAAUCCUCGUAACAACCUUGUUUUAGAGAUGAGAAAGCUGAAGUCCAUCCGUCAUUUGUACAGCAAUUUGUAUAUCGCCCAGUGUCCUUUAGACCAGCGGUCCCUAACCUUGUUGGCACCAGGACCGGUUUCAUGGAAGACAAUUUUUCCAUGGACUGGAGUGGGGGAGAUGGUUUUGGGAUGAAACUGUUCCGCCUCAGAUUCUCAGGCAUUAGAUUCUCAUAAGGAGCAUGGGACCUAGAUCCCUUCCCUGCGUGCUUCACAAUAGGGUUCACAUGCCCAUGAGAAUCGAAUGCUGCCACUGAUCUGUCAGGAGGCGGAGCUCAGGUGGCCAUGCUCGCUCACCCACCGCUCACCUCCUGCUGCGUGACCUGGUUCCUAACAGGCCACGAACUGGUACUGGUCUGCGGCCUGGGGGCUGGGGACCCGUGUUAGACCACCCUUCAGAGGCAGAGGGUUUAUAUAACCCCCAUUUUACAGAUGAAGAGACGGAGGCCUGGAUUGUUUUUCACGUAUUGCCUAACUUUCCACAGGCCCACAGCUAGUAAGUCACAGAGCAGGGGCUUGAACCCAGCCAUUCUGGCUCCAGUGCCUACACCCGUAACAACGCUUCCCCCUGCAAUGACAUUGGGAUUGAGGUCUGCCGCAGGGGUUGUCUGUCAGGUAUAGGGCUGAAGCGGUGUGCUCAAAUGUGGGGUCAAGCCUGGCUCUCCUGCUGCCUAGACUUUGGGACAGGUACUUGACCUCUUUGGGCCUUGUUUUUUUUUGUUUGUUUGUUUUUGAGACACACUGUUUCUCUGAAGCCCAGGCUGGAGUGCAAUGGCACGAUCUUGGCUCACUGCAACCUCUACCUCCUGGGUUCAAGCAAUUCUCCUGCCUUAGCCUCCCAAGUAGCUGGGAUUACAGGCACCCACGACCAUGCCUGGCUAAUUUUUGUAUUUUUAGUAGAGACGAGGUUUCACCAUGUUGGCCAGGAUGGUCUCGAAUUUUUGACCUCAGGUGAUCCACUUGCCUCGGCCUCCCAAAGUGCUAGGUUUACAGGCAUGAGCCACUGCGCCCGGCCUGGGCCUCAUUGUUUAAAAGUAUAAAACAGAGGUUAGAACUGCACCCCCUGUCUAGGUGGUUGUGGGAAGGGUAAGUCAAGCGCUGCACACAGUCUGGUGCAUGGUGAAUACUCACCACAGUGCUCUGGCCACGUGACUCACCUGCUCAUCAAGCCUGUGAAUUCUCAGAGGGCACAUCAGUGUCGCAGCCCUCUCUGUACCUGGUAGCUAGUAAGUGCUCAGCAAGUAUGCGCUAGCUGAAUCCGUACUAUUGAGGGGGUUCCUGCUUUAAUUAGGAAGUGUCUUUUUACACACACUCUAGCUCAAGAAGCUUUUAUUUUUAUUUUUUGAGACGGAGUCUCCCUCUGUCGCCCAGGCUGGAGUGCAGUGGCGCAAUCUCGGCCCACCGCAAGCUCUGCCUCCGGGGUUCACGCCAUUCUCCUGCCUCAGACUCCUGAGCAGCUGGGACUACAGGUGCCCGCCACCACACCUGGCUAAUUUUUUGUAUUUUUAGUAGACACGGGGUUUCACCGUGUUAGCCAGGAUGGUCUCGAUCUCCUGAUCUCGUGAUCUGCCCGCCUCAGCCUCCCAAAGUGCUGGGAUUAUAGGCUUGAGCCACUGCGCCCGGCCUAGAAGCUUAUAUUAAGGGAAAGAAGAAUGGAAGGACAUGCAUUAAUAUUGUCAACAGGGCUUAUCCCCCUUGGUAGUGGGGUGAUAGGUAACUUUUUUUUUUCUUUUUUGAGAUGGAAUCUCCCUUUGUCACCCAGGCUGGAGUAGAGUGGUGUGAUCUCGGCUCACUGCAACCUCCACCUCCUGGAUUCAAAUGAUUCUCGUGACUCAGCCUCCCAAGUAGCUGGGAUUACAGGUGCCUGCCACCACACCUGGCUAGUCUUUUUGUAUUUUUAGUAGAGAUGGAGUUUUGCCAUGUUGGCCAGGCUGGUCUUAAACUCCUGGCCUCAAGUGAUCUGCCUGUCUUGUUGGGAUUACAAGCAUGAACCACUAUGCCUGGCCAGGUAACUUAAAAAAAAAAUUAAUUUUUUUUUUUGUAGUGAUGGGGUCUCACUAUGUUACCCAGGCUGGUCUCGAACUCCUGGCCUCAAGUGAUGCUUCCUCCUUGGCCUCCCAAAUUACUGGGAUUAUAGGCAUGAGCCACAGUGCCCAGCCAACAGGAAACUUUUAUGCUUAAGUUUUCCUUUGCACUUUUACAUGUUUUCAAAAUGUUUUGUAAUAAGCAUAAUGUUACCUUUAAAAUUAGAAUCUAUUUUAAAAGCUAAUACAAAUUUUGAAAGGUUAAAUAAGUUAGGACUAAGUGACUUUUUCAGACAUCCCUAGGUUAUAAAUCCUUGACUAUUCCUCUAUGGCAGGCAGCUUAGCAGUCUACUUCUGGGGUCCCUUGGAAAAAUAAAGCUGGAUAGGCCAAAAUUUUGGUCAUCUGCAAAGGGGAAGGCUGAGAAACCAGUGCCCAAAUAGCUGGAUGACUUUGGUCCUAGUUUCCACUCAACAUUGUGCUGACCUGGACUUGGCUCGAACUGGCGAUGGGACUCAGUCACUUGAUGGUCCUCCCAGCUAAAGACCUGGAGAGCUCUGGCGAGCUGGACCUGCAGGCCCAAGGGACUUACGCUAACUGCCGCAGCAGCUCUGUGGAGCUUUUCCCACCAACACAGUUGAGAGCAAGCCGUGGCUGGGGCAUGUCCUGGAAAACAACAAAAGUGCAGUGAGGGAGCAUCCCCGCUCUACAUAUGGGGUCUGAAGCUUGCCCAAGUGCUGUGUUAAAAGGAGGGAGUAAAUGAGAUGUUUAUGCCUUUGUUUGCGUGCACGUACUUAUGUAUAUGUGUGUGUGUUUAUGCCUUUGAACUCACCUUUUUCUCUGCUUAGGAAGUGUCUUUUCUUUCUUUUUUCUUUUUCUUUCUAAGACAGGGUCUCGCUCUGUUACCCAGGCUGGAGUGCAGUGGUGCAAUCAUGGCUCACUGCUACCUUACCCUCCUGGGCUCAAGCAAUCCUCCCACCUCAGCCUCCCAAGUAGCUGGGACUGCAGAUGAGUAUCAUGAUGACCAGAUAAUUAAAAAAAAAUGUUUUUUUGUAGAGACAGAGGUCUCACUAUGUUGCUCAGGCUAGUCUCAAACUCUCAGACUCAAGCAAUCCGCCUGCCUUGGCCUCCCGAAGUGCUGGGAUUACAGGCAUGAGUCACCUCAUCCAGCCAAGAAGGGCCUUUUCUGUAGCAACUUAAUCCUGUUGUCCAUUUUAGGACCUGGCAGAACUCAUCUUCUCUGGGAAAGAAUAGGCAAAGGGCAUCUGCAUGCAGUUUGGUGGGUUUCAGCUCCCUGUGUGCCCCCCUUUUCAGUUCUUUGACUCAGCUGAUAUUAUAUAUGCUGAUCUACUGCUUCAGAAAUGUUCGCAAGAAGCGCAUGCUCUUGAGUGUGUGUCUUUGGUUCCUCCAGAUGGUUCAGUGAAAAGGGGCUGAGGGUCUGGUCACUUACUAGGCAUGUUGUGGGGUGGAGGUUCUGGAAGGUUAAGAGGCUUUGAGUUCGGAGAGACUGAGGCCAGCUCUGAC
rnacentral:lncRNA from 10 species